UAAAUACAAAGUGAUUGAUGUCCAUCGAUCAUUAAUUAUUUACGUAAUAAAAUUUAUUAUUAGGAAUAAUGACAUAUAUAAGUACCAAAUGUACAAGUAUUUCAUAGACAUUUUAUAAAAAAGUGGACUCCAAAAAAGUGUGAAAACUCACUUUUUAAGUUUUUCUUAGUAGAAUUCACUUUUUAACAAAAGAAUUUCACCAAACUGAUAUAUUUGAGAUCGACUUGAUCUUAACGUUACUCAGUUAAUAUUACUCGUCAUCUGCUUCAAUGCUCGAGUAGUAGGGGUUUAUUGGAAUGAAUGAUCCGAACUACAGAUAAAGUGGAUUAGCUUGUCACUUAUUUAUCAAUUAUCAAUCCAACAGCUAGCAGCUCCCUUUAUUCCCCAUCUUUUUCUUGAUCCUCUUCUUCCCCUAAAAGAAACCCUCUUCACUUCUGACUUCAAGUAUUGACAUGGAAGAACUGAGUUUUUAUAUUGGGAUCAUAGGCAACAUCAUCUCAGUACUAAUGUUUCUUUCCCCCGUCGGAACAUUUUGGAGAAUAAUCAAGCAGCGGUCGACAGAGCAGUUUGAGAGCCUUCCUUACAUCUGCACAUUGUUGAGUUCAUCUUUGUGGACUUACUAUGGAAUUAUAAAGGCCGGGGAAUUACUCGUGGCCACCGUUAAUGGUUUUGGCAUUCUUGUUGAAACUAUCUACGUCACUUUAUUUCUUAUAUAUGCGCCGGGAAGAUCUAAGGCUAAGACAGUCAUUCUUGUCGGGUUGUUGGAUGUGGGCUUCCUAGCGGUAGCGAUUUUUGUUACUCGACUGGCAUUGCAGGGAGAGACACGUAUUGCUGCUCUAGGGAUCCUGUGUGCAGGGCUUAACAUUGUAAUGUACAGCUCGCCUCUAGCCGUCAUGAGAACAGUGGUGACAACCAAGAGUGUGGAGUACAUGCCAUUCUUUCUCUCAUUUUUUUUCUUCUUGAACGGUGGGACUUGGACUUUCUAUGCUCUUCUCAUGCGCGAUUACUUCCUUUUGGUACGUACCAAAUGGAUCUGGGUUUCUACUUGGAACAGUGCAGCUAGUGCUAUACGCAAUUUAUUACAGGAAGCCCAACCUGUCCAAAAAUGUUUCAGAUAGACUGGAAGAAGGAUGCCAACAACAGGAACCCCUCAUCUCCAGUACCUCAACUCAAUUACAUGAAACAUCAUAGCUCUCUGCAGAAUCGUGCAUGUUUCCAACUAUAUUCAUACAAAGUGAACUUGGAGCGAUGGCAGAUCAAAAUUGGGUCAAGUGUCGUGAGAGUACUACUACUGCUCGACCGUGUACUAGCCUAAUUUAAAUUUCGGGCUACCUAUGAUCGAUAAUAAUUGCUUGAGUUCUCUAGUUUUGUUUUGGAAUAUCAUGUUUAGAUCACGCCAAAUUAUAAUUAGAGGAGGUGAAUAGAUCGAUCAUGUGAAGAAACGUAUGUACGGAUUAUUUGAAAAGAAAAGCUAUUGAGAUCGUAUAUAUUUUGAGUUA